rnacentral:lncRNA from 1 species
CGCAUCAAAAACGAAUGGACAAGAACUGUCAUAUUCCUGACUUGGUACAGGCAUUUUCAAAUGUAGAAAAUGGUGGAUUAAACCUGGUUUUAUAGCGCUAACCCUCUCACUUUGAUGACAGUCUCAUCAAAUCCGUUAUAUUUACAUUGAUGCGCUAACUAAACAGACACAAUAAAUAAAAUAGUCAAAAUAUGGGUACAUCAGUCAUCAUCGUAUAACAAUUUUAAAAGGAACAAUUUAACAGAGC